rnacentral:rRNA from 1 species
AUGAGACCCCUUAUUGGGAAGUUGGACAUGCUUCUCCUUAGGGAUGCUCCUCAGAAAUGCUGCUCCAAGAGGAUCAAGGACAGGAUGCGCCUCCUCAAGGAUGACGUUCAAAAGAUAAGUUCCUACCUUGAUGAACUAUUAGAAGUGGAAGACCCUCCGCCAAUGGCCAUGUGCUGGAUGAAUGAGGCACGCGACCUGUCUUAUGACAUGUAGGAUUACGUCGACAGCUUAUUAUUUGUGCCGCCUGAAGAUCCCUCCCUUUUUGCCAACAACAUCAAGGCCACCAGAUCCCUCCGCAAAUGGUUCAGUCGUGUCAAGACUUCCCAGACUCAGGUUAUUAGUGCAGAAACGUUAUCAGAAUUCAGGAGGUAUGUCCAGGAGGCCAUUCAACGCCACCAGAGGUAUAAUCUCCAUUCUUGCAGAACCUUGAGGCGUAGCUUUGUGUCCCAUGGCCCUAUGGUUCUUCCAAGGCCAUAUGAAGAAACUGCAGACAUAGUAAUCGAUGGCCGGAUGAAUGAAUUUAUCAACUCACUGGCUACCGAUGGGGACCAGCAGCUCAAGGUGCUUUCUGUUCUUGGAUCUGCUUGUCUUGCUAAAACCACACUUGCUAGAGUGUUGUACAACCGAUUUAGGAAGCAAUACAAUUGCCAAGCUUUCGUUCGAGUAUCCAAGAAACCUGAUAUGAAGAAAAUUUUCUGUGACAUGCUCUCGCAACUACAGCGGCAACAUCCUCCGCAACAUUGUAGGGAAAUUGAUCUCAUUCACGAUAUCAAGCAAUAUCUACAAGAUAAAAGGUAUUUAAUUAUUAUUGAUGAUGUAUGGGCUGCAUCAGUAUGGCAUACUAUUAAUCAUGUUUCUCCAAAGGGUAAUCAUGGCAGCAGAAUAAUAACAACUACACAGAUCGAAGAUGUUGCAUUAACAUGUUGCUGCUAUCAGUCAGAGUAUGUUUUUGAGAUGAAACACCUAGAUGAUGGUCAUUCUAGAAAGCUUUUCUUUAACAGACUUUUUUGCUCUGAAAGAGAUUGUCCUGAACAGUUCAAAGAUGUUCUAAAUGAAAUAGUUGAAACAUGUGAUGGUUUGCCGUUAGCCAGAGCCAGCAUAGCAAGUGUUUUAGCAAGCCAGCCUGUCAUGUCAACUGAUCUUUUGACAUACAUCCAUCGGUCCUUAAGCUCUUGUUUCUCGGCAUCAGAAAGAACUAGACAAGCACUGAAUCUGAGCUUUAACAGUCUUCCUCAAUAUUUGAAGACAUGUUUGCUUUAUCAUAGUAUGUAUCCAGAG